UCACCCAUAGCGCCGAGCUCCAUCCAAUGGGUGAGGGCCCCCGGAAUGUGGAUGGAGGCGGGGGACCCACCGGUCCGCCGGAUCCGGAGUCGCAUGCGACUCCUUGGGGUGAAGCUGGCGUCGACUCUUCGGAGAUGACUGAAGACGACGUCGGCCGGGUGGCCUCUCCAACCCGAACCCGACAGCUGACCUCGCAGGCGCGUGCAGAGAGGAAUU
rnacentral:sRNA from 1 species